rnacentral:rRNA from 1 species
UGGGGAAUAUUGCACAAUGGGCGCAAGCCUGAUGCAGCGACGCCGCGUGCGGGAUGGAGGCCUUCGGGUUGUAAACCGCUUUUGUUCAAGGGCAAGGCACGGUUUCGGCCGUGUUGAGUGGAUUGUUCGAAUAAGCACCGGCUAACUACG